GCCCUAGUGGUGCAAUGGUCAAGCCCUUGGCUGCUAACCCAAAGGUUGGUGGUUCAAACCCAUCCAGAGGCU
rnacentral:tRNA from 1 species